rnacentral:rRNA from 1 species
GAUGAACGCUAGCUACAGGCUUAACACAUGCAAGUCGAGGGGCAGCAUGGUCUUAGCUUGCUAAGGCCGAUGGCGACCGGCGCACGGGUGAGUAACACGUAUCCAACCUGCCGUCUACUCUUGGACAGCCUUCUGAAAGGAAGAUUAAUACAAGAUGGCAUCAUGAGUCCGCAUGUUCACAUGAUUAAAGGUAUUCCGGUAGACGAUGGGGAUGCGUUCCAUUAGAUAGUAGGCGGGGUAACGGCCCACCUAGUCUUCGAUGGAUAGGGGUUCUGAGAGGAAGGUCCCCCACAUUGGAACUGAGACACGGUCCAAACUCCUACGGGAGGCAGCAGUGAGGAAUAUUGGUCAAUGGACGAGAGUCUGAACCAGCCAAGUAGCGUGAAGGAUGACUGCCCUAUGGGUUGUAAACUUCUUUUAUACGGGAAUAAAGUUAGCCACGUGUGGUUUUUUGUAUGUACCGUAUGAAUAAGGAUCGGCUAACUCCGUGCC